rnacentral:rRNA from 1 species
UAUACAUAGCCUCAACUCAUGUGAGACUACCCCCUGAAUUUAAGCAUAUUAAUAAGG